rnacentral:rRNA from 1 species
UUCCGGUUGAUCCUGCCGGACCUGACUGCUAUCGGAUUGAUACUAAGCCAUGCGAGUCUUUGUAGUAAUACAAGGCAUACGGCUCAGUAACGCGUAGUCAACCUACCCUAUGGACAAGAAUAAUCUCGGGAAACUGAGCAUAAUUCUUGAUAGAUCAUAAUGCCUGGAAUGGUUUAUGGUUAAAAUGAUUCGUCGCCAUAGGAUGGGACUGCGGCCUAUCAGCUUGUUGGUGAGGUAAUGGCCCACCAAGGCGAUUACAGGUACGGGCUCUGAGAGGAGAAGCCCGGAGAUGGGUACUGAGACAAGGACCCAGGCCCUAUGGGGCGCAGCAGGCGAGAAAACUUUGCAAUGUGCGAAAGCACGACAAGGUUAGUCCGAGUGAUUUCUGCUAAAGAGAUCUUUUGCUAGUUAUAAAACCACUAGUGAAUAAGGGGUGGGCAAGUUCUGGUGUCAGCCGCCGCGGUAAACCAGCACCUCAAGUGGUCAGGAUGAUUAUUGGGCCUUAAGCAUCCGUAGCCGGCUCUGUAAGUUUUCGGUUAAAUCUAUACGCUCAACGUAUGGGCUGCCGAAAAUACUGUAGAGAUAGGGAGUGGGAGAGGUAGACGGUACUCGGUAGGAAGGGGUAAAAUCCUUUGAUCUAUCGAUGGCCACCUGUGGCGAAGGCGGUCUACCAGAACACGUUCGACGGUGAGGGAUGAAAGCUGGGGGAGCAAACCGGAUUAGAUACCCGGGUAGUCCCAGCUGUAAACGAUGCAGACUCGAUGAUGCAUUGGCAUAUAGCCAGUGCAGUGUCGCAGGGAAGCCGUUAAGUCUGCCGCCUGGGAAGUACAGUACGCAAGUAUGAAACUUAAAGGAAUUGGCGGGGGAGCACCACAAGGGGUGAAGCCUGCGGUUCAAUUGGAUUCAACGCCGGG